rnacentral:rRNA from 1 species
UACGGGGGGGCAAGCGUUGUUCGGAAUUACUGGGCGUAAAGGGCUCGUAGGCGGCCAACUAAGUCAGACGUGAAAUCCCUCAGCUUAACUGGGGAACUGCGUCUGAUACUGGAUGGCUUGGAUUCGGGAGAGGAAUGCGGAAUUCCAGGUGUAGCGGUGAAAUGCGUAGAUAUCUGGAGGAACACCGGUGGCGAAGGCGGCAUUCUGGACUGCAACUGACACUGAUGAACGAAAGCCAGGGGAGCAAACGGG